UUCUUCCUUCUUUCUUUCCCGAUAUUCUCUCUCUGCUCUCUCGAUCUAAAAAGGCGAAUCGAUGGUCUAAAAAAAUCAAUCGAUUCGACUGGAGGAUUGAUGGCCACCGGAGGAUAAGAUUCUCAUCAAAACCGAACCAAAGCCCUCGUCUUCGUCUUCACCGCAGCAACCCACGACGGAGACGAAACAAGUCGACGGAGAUGAUUCCGACGGAUUCGAGACUGCCAGCGAACGUGAAAUCAGCUAUGAAGAUGGUACUAAAAACGACGCCGUCACUAGUCAGGAGGAGAAACCACAGCACUAGGAGAUGAAGAAAGAAUAUGUUGAAUCGAUUAAUUUUUAUAUCUCUCUCUCUCUCUCUCUUUUAUCUCUUCGCGACAUCUCUCUCUUUUAUCUCUUGAUGGAAAUCCAUAGAAAUCAAUCGAUCACCUUGAUCGAUUAAUUUUUCCAGCUUAAGAUUAGAGGGUUUGUUCCUACUUGUGAAAUAUUCUCUAGGAUUUGUUGAUCUCUUUCAAUUGCAUCUCUAGUUGUAGGUCUAGUUCUUUGGAUAUUUUUCCCUUUUCCCCUGUCAAGAAACAUUCGUUGAGUUGGUUUUCUAGACAGCUAAUAGGUUGUUAUUGAUUGAUCAUUCAUUAAUUUCUUGAUUUUGCAGGAGCAGGGAGAUUCAGAUCACCAGGAUCAGGAGUAGGAUUAGUUGCUCCUUCUCCUCAGUAGCAAUCAAGCACAAGCUCAAGCUUAAGCUCAACAUCUCAAGACAUCGAACAGAGUGUUAAGCUCAACAUCUUGUUUUUGACUAGGCUCCUCAUACAACUACUGACCAAGAACAUACAACAAGCUAUUUUGGAUUCAGUGGAAUCCCAUGAAGAAAAAAAACAUCAACGGUCUUGUAUAAGAGUUGCAGAUUCUGUGUUAUGGCAUGCUGCUUCAAGUACUCUUUGUAAAUUUAAAAUUCAAUGUUACAACAAUGUUUAAGUGAAUCAUUGUUAAUCUUUUCAUAUCCACAAUUGUGAAUCAUUUUGAAUCAUUGAAACAUUGUUUAAGGAUGAGUGUGGACAACUUCUUGAAACAUUGUUUAAGUGAGCUUUUUUUGUUCUGCAAUAUAGGUUCCUUGUAGAUAUUUCACCA